GCAAAACAGGACGGCUGUGCCCGGCUACUCUUGGCAGAGACACUCGGAGCAUCAGACAGAGUUGUGAGAUGCUGAGGAGGAGAGAAGAGGGAGCAAAGAAUGGUUUCAUCUGCACUGGAGGAGACUGCUGAUCUCCUGUUACCUGUUGUCCCAUUGCAGGUGCGUGUGGCCGGCCUUGCACUCGGAGGUCCAACUCCUCCUUGGAUGAGCGUAAAGGAGAGAUGAAGGUGCAGCAGAGGAGGAGGAGGAGGAGAAGCACUCUGCAAGGAUCAUUGUGCUGACGGAUUACGAGGCACAUGAAGAGGAUUUUAUCUGACUGUUUUCAUCCCCCUGUUCCUCCGUGUGAACGCCUCGGGACGAGAUCACCUGACUGCUGGAGGACACUCUCCGUUUACCUGCAGGGAUUAUUACCUGAGUGACACCUGAGCAGACUGCUUUAUUACAGACUUGCUCCCUGUGUACACCGAGUGGACCGAGUUUUCUUCCUGCCUUACAGAGACGGAGGGAGAGAGAGAGAGAGAGAGAGAGGGGGAGAGAGAUUGCCAGGCACUGAUGGAGAAUGAGAGAAAGAGAGAGAGAGAGGGAGAAGAACAGACAGUGAGCGACAUGGACUCGCGCAGAGAAGACAGCGGAGCUCCAGACAGACAGCGUGGGCCACUGCUGGUGCUGCGCGCCGGCCAGAGCGCACUGGCUGCCGGAUCGAAAACGCUUGGACUACUGCGGGGGGAAAGUACGUGCGGAUGCCUGCCGAUCGGACUGUUUCACACGGCGGCACACGGAGCUCCGCGGCCGGGGAGACUGAGACUGAAGCGAGAGGAGGAGAAGGAAGAGGAUGAGGAGAGAAAGAGCAACUUGUUUAAUUUCGAGAUGAGGAGGACGAACUUCCACAACUGGCAUGAUGUAACGGAGGACAUGAAGAUCUGAUGAAGACACCGGGACAUCGCUGGAAAAGAAUGAGGAGCUGCCGCUGCAGUAAUCUCCACUGUUCAAUUAGCUGCAGUGACUGGUGACGCCUUAACACUUCAUUAACAGGAGGAGGAAGAUGAUGUCGAUGGUGAAACAUCAAACCAGCAGCGGAAGAAGAAGAAGAAGAAGAAGUGAUGGAGAAGGUGGUGAUGUUUCAAACACCCGCGCGCACACACGUCAGUAGAGUGUGUGUGUGAGUGUGUGAGUGUGUGAGCCAUUUCCAGGUGAAGCAAACUGAAUUAAGGUGAAUCGAGCUGAACUGAUGUGAACUGGAAUGACCUGAGCACCAGUGAAUAGAAGGUUUCACAUGACUCUCUCAGGAUUUGGGGUUCAAAAAAAAAGUUGAAAGCAGUGAAACACCUUCAAAUAAAACAGGAAAAUCUGUGGUUUAUACCUGUUCUUGUUAGUUUUCUACUUUUUUUACUUUGAAUAUAUGAUAUUUAUUCUCAUGUAUAUGUUCAUAAUGAUAGAAACAAACAUGUUACUUUUCUGUAUGUAUGUAAAUUAAUGUUUUUCUCCUUGAUGUUCCUCAUGAAAAUGCUAUCAUUUAAAUAAAAGUUAAUAGGAUAAGGUACUGGGACUGUCUUUCUCUUUUACUUUUAAGCCUUAAGUUUUAAUAUAAUAAAAGUUUGGUCAUGUUACAUUUCAUCUUCUCACUGUAACAUGUUCAUUCAAAUUUCAUCAAAUCUUUCUCUUGGCUGC